rnacentral:lncRNA from 10 species
AAAAAUGCAUUUGCUGUAAAGCUUUAUUUUAAAGAGGAUGCAAAUCUAAAAGGUUAACCAUCUAAUUUACUAUUUUUUUUAAAUGGGAUUGAAGGUUAAGACAUGUAUGUAAAACAGAUUUGCUUCAAAAUCUUGAGCUGCUGAACUAGAUGAGUAAUAAGUUUUGAAAAGUGAAUAUUAGCCCCUUGGGCAAUAAUAAUAAGAUCCACAACAUUAUCGAUCUUGUAUAUGCCUAAUAAGUAGGCAUAUACAAAUAAACUAACAUGUGAAUUGCAUAUCAUUUAAGAGAAAAAAACGACACCACACUUUUCUAAAACAGAACUCUGAUUCCAAGUAAAAUAAAAACUCUGGUUUGCUCCUGCCAGGGUUUUCUAACAUAGAUUCCCUGCUCACUUUGAAGGAGAUUACUUGAGUUGUAUACUCAACAAAGACAUAAGGCUACUUGGCAAUUUUUUUAAUGUGUGCACCAGGAAAUAACACUCAUAUUUGUAGAAUACAUUUUUUAUAUAACAACUUUGCAUCCAUUAUCUUACGUCCUAAUCAUAGAAACCAAAUGUGGUAGUUAUUUCUAGUAUUUUUCUCUUUUCCAGUUAAGGUGACAGUUUCAGAGUAGUUAAGUAACUUGCUCAAGGUCACUCAGAGACUUAUAUAGUGGCGAUGGCAUUCAAAUUCAGUCUGCAUUACUUCAAAAUGUAUGCUUAUUUGAGAGAAAAACAUUAUACACAUGUAAGAAAAAACUUUCCCCAACCUAAGUUUUUUUUACUUUCAACUAGACAUAUAACAUAAAACAACAACCAAAUUAUCUAAUAUCAAUGAAUAAAAAAGUCAGAAUGAACUUUCUUUACACUGUAUCUAUAUUGGAUAUCUAUAAAGAACCACAAAGUUUGUUGGCCUUUGUGCAUUUACUGCAAGCCAAAAAGAAAAAAAAAAAAAUCUCUCCAAAAGACAUCUAACUUGGAAGGGCAUGAGAGCAACAUAGUAGGGGAGUACAUCUUGAAAGGUAUAAGUAAGAUUCUGGAAACUCCCACAGAUGUAGAGAAUUGAAGUAUUAUUUUGAAUUCAAGUACAGAUGUGUCUCUCAGCAGAAGUCUUUUCUUCUAGGAAAAUUACAAAACCAGGAAUCUCCAUCACCCAUGACAUUCUGUCCACAUUGUCACAUAAAAACCUAAAUUCAGAAUAAAUUUUGUGGCUUUGGAGAAUUGGUAGAUGAAUUUUAAAGAUACAUUAGUACAGAUAGCAAUUCACUUAUCUUAAACUACUUAUCCUAUGCUGAGUCCUAACACUGGAGUCAGCAAGCAUUGUUUGUGGUAACUGUACCCAAGUCUGAAAAAGAACAUCAAGAAAACCCAAGCAGUUGUGCUGAGUCUCUAUAAAGUGCUAGGAUUAGGAGAUAUAGAAGCUGUUUUAAAAACAGCUUUAUUGAGAUUUAAUUCAGGUACUAAGAACUUCACCAUUUUAAAGUGUGUAAUUUAGUGCUUUUAUACACAUCCAUAAGAUUAUGAAAUCAUCAUCGUUAUAUAAUUCCAGAACAUUUUCAUCAUGCCCAGAAGAAAUCCUGUACCUACGAGUAAUCACUCACUGGUCCCCACUUUAUCCCUUCUCCUGAACCCCCACAGACACCAAUCUAAUUUCUCUCUUUAUGGAUUGACCCAAAUCUUGACAUUUCAUAUAAAUUAAAUCAUACUGUAUCUGGUUUCAUAUAACUACUCUCUUUCACAUUCAUGUUUUAAAGUUCAUCUGUAUUAUAGCAUAUAUCGUUACUUAAUUUCUUUUUAUUGCUGAAUAAUAUUCCAUUGUAA